rnacentral:misc_RNA from 1 species
GCAAACUUGGUCAUUUAGAGGAAGUAAAAGUCGUAACAAGGUUUCCGUAGGUGAACCUGCGGAAGGAUCAUUACAGAUUGUUAUUACAAUCUCUUCCUUAUUCUCCCCUAUGUGCACCCUAUUGCAUGAGCUAGUAGCAGUUGUAGUAACUCUUUAAGUAGUGUUACAAGCUGCAAAAGCUUAUGUGAUUUCACUUCAAAUACUAUACACUGUCUGUAUGGCACUGUUGUACAAUAUGAGUAUAAUGGAAUAUACAACUUUCAGCAAUGGAUCUCUUGGCUCUCGCAUCGAUGAAGAACGCAGC